GUUACCCGGAUACGGAUACGCGUAUCGGUAUCGAGGCCGAUAUGGAUACGCCGAUACGGCACUCUCCCAAAAAACUCUGAUACGUGGAUACGUUUCAAUUUUUUUAAUAAAAUUAAAUAAAGACAAUGCAUAUCAAAGUUGACAACAAUAAGAAAUCGAUGUUCAACAUAGAGAUAGCAGUCAAUACAAAUACAUAACAGGCGCUUCAUGGUUUAAUUUUUCUUGACAGCUUGGAGUUCAAUGCUUCAUAGUUUAUUCUUCUACAUCCUCAACAGGUGCUUCAUUCUCUUCCAGGCUGACAAUCUCAAGACCAAAGGACACAGCUUGCAAUUCAGGCUCAUCAAGGGAGAGUUCAGCCACUUCAAGAAGACCUACACCAGCCAUAGUGUCAAAAGAAUCUCCUCCCACAUCCCACAUUCUUGUCUCUCCUGUCUUGUAUGCAUCUGUUUUUCUUGACAUAUGCCUCAGAUUUGAGUGCACAAAUACCAAAUCUUCAGCCCUCUCUGGAGUUAAGGCAUUUCUUUUGACACUAUGUAUGAAGCUAUAUGUACUCCAAUUGCGUUCACAGCAAGAAGAUGAUGCUGGUUGGUUAA